CACACAGGUAGGCCUGACUCUGCAUCCAGAGUGCUGGAUCAUAGGUACUUACCAUGUCCACCAAGCUUAUCUCUACUCUGAGCUUUCUUUUUUAUUUUAAUUUCAUUUUACAUACCAACCACAGUUAACCUCCAUACCCUCUUCCUGCUACUUACUCCCCCACCCCCAUCCACACUUCAGAGAGGUUAAACAACCUUGGUGCAGUGAGGAGGGGCUUGGACCUGCCUAGGCUCAGUGUUUCGGGCUCUGCUGACUUCAGAGAGGUUAAAUAAAGCCUCCCUUGGGGAGUCAGCAAAAUCUAGCAUAUCAAGUUGAGGCUUCCCUGUGUUUUGUGUGACAUCUUGGGAUUACUAAUGUAGUACAGGGUUCAUCUCUGAAUAAGAUUGUUUCUUAAUUUAAUAACUGGUUAAAUUGAUUCUUAAGUGAAUACUUCCUCAGUAACUGUUAAUUUCUUGUUACUGUUUAGUUGGAAAUUAUUGGGAGAAUUUCCCUACACAUUGGUGUGUCACUUCUUGUCCAGAGAACUACUCACUAUGGAGUACCCAGCCUCAGCUGAUAAGAUCCAACACAACCAGUGCUCAUAAGAUGUAGGAAAUGCUGUGGAAGAUGGGCUGGACAGAUUUUAAGAGCCAGGGAUCAGAAGAGGAUAUGGUUUCCUAUAUUUGACAGGGAACCUUUACCUAGACUGAUCUCAACAGUGUGGUGUCUAAAAAUGGCUUGGGAUAUGAUGUCUUGUACCUUUUUAUUUAAAAUCUGUGGUUCUCUGAAACAUUAAGUUUCAAAAUACCUCCAGAGUCAUCGCUUCCAUUUGUCUUCUUUUAUUUCCAUAUUUUCUAACCGCUGCUAAGAAAAAAAUCUAAAUAUAACAAUCAACUGGAGAUAUCAACAUCAAUAGAAUCCCCAUUAAACAAAGAUUUAAAAGCAUAGUUAAAAAUAAGGGAGAAGUGAUCAAAAGAAGUGUGUUAAAGUUUCUUUCCUUACCUGCCAUGGUUGGAGAGAGAGUAUCAGCAAUCCACAGUACAAUGGAGCAAGAGAAUUGGUUAUUCUUGUCUGAUCAGCUGACCUGAGUGGCAAGUGUGUCCGGUAUCAGACAGCACUUACUGGUGACUGGGCACAGGUGACCUGUGAUGAUCCAAAUUUGUUUACAGGCAUCACCAUGGAAAUCCCAAGAAGUACCAGGUGGUGGUGGGGUUGGAGGGGAAAUGAUGUCAUAAAUGGGGUUGGAGGGGAAAUGAUGUCAUAAAUGGGGCAGCAGCCAAUGGGAAGGUUGGAUUCUGAGCUAAAAGUUGGAAUUGGUUGGAGAGGAUGCCAGGAGACCAACAGUAGUCAUGGAAGCUGAGGUGUGGACUAGUGAAUGGAGGCAAUACUGGGACACCAAGUGACAGAUGACAAGCAGAAUACUGCCACUGAGUAACAGUCCCCAGAUGAACAUAUGCUCUCAUAGAAAUCACCUGAGAUAAUAGCACCAUGAAGAUUUGCCUUUACAUGCUUGGCCUGAAUCAUCUGCAGCUGCGCAGGUGGUGAAAAGAGCCCUCAAAGACGCGUUGGUAACAAAGCAAACAGGAUCACAAACACCCACAGCCAGAUGGUUUCUCAGGCUGCAUCUCUAGUGCUCUCAAGACUUGAGGGUCUAAUCCCAUGGCAGGCUUCAGAAAUAAAACUCAUGUGUCUGGCUUGA